CUGACAGGCACUGGCAGGCACUAACAGUCACUAAACAUAGUAAACAUGCUCGACAACAACAAUAACAAUAUCGAGAAGAAGAACAGCAAAAGUUAUUGGAAGUUGCUGCUAGAAAACAGAGAUUCGUAGAAUGCAGAAUGAUAGGGGCUGGCAAGAUCAUGCUCGAAGAUGAAUCCACUAUCUGUGAAGACAUGCUUAAUGCUUUGGAUGUUAGUGGUCUCCAAGCAAAGGCAGCUGCUUUCAAUGAUUACAAUUUCGAGGCACCUAACCGAAGUCCAUUGGCAAUAGACAAUCAAAGAACAGCCAUUCUUGAACUUCUAAAAAAAAAUGUCAUCAUUGUUAAGGGCUUUACCGGUUGUGGUAAAACCACUCAAGUGCCCCAAUUUGUUUUAGAUGAAUGCUACCGAACCAAAACUCCUUGCAACAUUGUUGUGACUCAACCAAGGCGCAUUGCAGCCAUUAGCAUAGCCAAAAGGGUCUGCUAUGAAAGAAAUUGGACAUUGGGAACCGUUGUUGGAUACAGAGUAACUUUGAAUAUUUUGUCACACUGUUAUCACUUUUACUAUUGAAAGCUAUGUGUUUACUAGGU